AUGGAUGCCCUCCACCUACCUCCCGGGACCCCAGGUCUGGGUAGCUGCCCCUCCAGAGAGAACCCAAGCAUCCGAGGUCCUGGUCACUAUGACCCCUGCUAUUGGGUGGCUUCUAUUUCUGGCUGCAGAGGAAGCCACAGUUCCUGGCAAGUUCGAGUUCCUGACCAUCGUCCCGGCCCACGGAGACAUUUACCUGGACACCUCCUAUUAUUCAUCUGCAAAGUGUCUGGCCGGGAAGUUGAGGCUCGCUUUCGCUGGCUGGGACCUGAUGGGGAGGAGGCGGCUCUUGGAGGGUCCUCCUUCUCGGCUGAGCCCAUCUACGAGGCUUCAGUGGGGCUCCGAGUGACCCUGAGCGAGCCAGGUCAAGAGAGGCCCCGUAUCCUCGGCCUUAAUCUCAGCCCCACCGUUGCGGAGGAGGGGUCCGUCAGGGAGCUGCAAUGCAAGGUGUCAGGGAUCCCCCAGCCCAACAUUACCUGGGAGCAUCAGGGCUUGGUGCUGGGAGGUAACGGUCGGGUAUCAGUGCAGGAUGGAACUCUGACCAUCCGGGACCUGGAGCCUUCGGAUGCUGAGGUUUACACUUGCGAGGCGUCCAUAGCCGAGCGCAUGGAGAGCGCGCGGGAGAACGAGAAGCUGAGAGUGACUUUCCGUCCCCGGCUGGAGGGACCCAAGGGGAACGCAGGGGUCUUCUAA
rnacentral:lncRNA from 1 species